UACGUAGGGGGCAAGCGUUGUCCGGAAUUAUUGGGCGUAAAGAGCGCGUAGGCGGUCCGGUAAGUCGGCUGUGAAAGUCAAGGGCUCAACCCUUGAAAGCCGGCCGAUACUGUCGGACUAGAGUCCGGAAGAGGCGAGUGGAAUUCCCGGUGUAGCGGUGAAAUGCGUAGAUAUCGAGAGGAACACCUGCGGCGAAGGCGGGUUGCUGGGCUGACACUGACGCUGAGGCGCGAAAGCUAGGGGAGCGAACGGG
rnacentral:rRNA from 1 species